rnacentral:rRNA from 1 species
CCCAAGUAGCAUGGGACACGUGAUAUCCCGUGUGAAUCCGGGGGGACCACCCCCCAAGGCUAAAUACUCUCAGUGACCGAUAGUGAACCAGUACCGUGAGGGAAAGGUGAAAAGAACCCCGGGAGGGGAGUGAAAUAGAACCUGAAAUCGUGUGCCUACAAACGGUGGGAGCCCGGUGGCCCUUCGGGGCCUGGGUGACUGCGUGCUUUUUGCAUAACGAACCGGCGAGUCACGGUAUGUGGCAAGGCUAAGCGGUGAACCGCGGAGCCGAAGCGAAAGCGAGUCCUAACUAGGGCGAUCCAGUCGCAUGUCGUGGACCCGAAACCAGGCGACCUAUCCGUGGCCAGAGUGAAGCGCAGCUAAACCUGCGUGGAGGCUCGAACCCGUGAGUGCUGAAAAACUCUGGGAUGAGCUGCGGAUAGCGGUGAAAAGCCAAACGAGCCUGGCGAUAGCUGGUUCUCCCCGAAAUAGCUUUAGGGCUAGCCUCUGGCGUUCAGCGGCGGAGGUAGAGCACUGGAUGGGCUCGGGCCCUUGAUAGGGUACCAACCCCAACCAAACUCCGAAUGCCGUCGCUUCACAGCCAGGGAGUCAGACUACGAGGGAUGAGCUUCGUGGUCAAAAGGGAAACAGCCCAGACCGCCAGCUAAGGUCCCUAAACUAGACUAAGUGGGAAAGGAUGUAGAAUCUCCGAGACAGCCAGGAGGUUGGCCUAGCAGCAGCCA